rnacentral:rRNA from 1 species
GACGAACGCUGGCGGCGUGCCUAAUACAUGCCAGUCGAGCGGACUGAAUGGGAGCUUGCUCUUGUUCGGUCAGCGGCGGACGGGUGAGUAACACGUGGGCAACCUGCCCGCAAGACCGGGAUAACUCCGGGAAACCGGAGCUAAUACCGGAUAACACCGAAGACCGCAUGGUCUUUGGUUGAAAGGCGGCGCAAGCUGCCACUUGCGGAUGGACCCGCGGCGCAUUAGCUAGUUGGUGAGGUAACGGCUCACCAAGGCGACGAUGCGUAGCCGGCCUGAGAGGGUGACCGGCCACACUGGGACUGAGACACGGCCCAGACUCCUACGGGAGGCAGCAGUAGGGAAUCUUCCGCAAUGGGCGAAAGCCUGACGGAGCGACGCCGCGUGAGCGAAGAAGGCCUUCGGGUCGUAAAGCUCUGUUGUGAGGGACGAAGGAGCGCCGUUUGAAGAAGGCGGCGCGGUGACGGUACCUCACGAGGAAGCCCCGGCUAACUACGUG